AUGAGUUCUUCAAACGAGGAUGCGUCAGAUUCCGCCCUGCAGCCCUCGCCGAGGGAUAUCCUGCUUGAGAUGAGCACAGUCCCUCGCCUGCACAACACGCUUGAGUUGCCACCGCCGCCCAUCACCUCUGCGGUGACGCGCUCCUGGUCGGAUGUCGACCCACUGCGGCUGAUGAUGACGUUUGGUGUCACCUCCUUCUCCUAUAGCUUCCUCGGGCAGCCGAUCUUCCUUGUCAUUGCUCGGCAGCAGUGCUGUACAACCCGUGUGUCGGCGGCCAAGGUGCUGCAGGAGGUGCGGCAGUCUCACGGCUUCAGAGGGCUCUACCGCGGUGCAGGAGCCGCCAUUUCAGGCACCGUGCUAAGUGAGCUUGUGUACUACUUUCUCGUCGAGUACUGGAAGGAGAAGCUGCCGUUGCAGGAGCGGGAGUGGCGCAGCUUCGGCGCAGGCCUACUGGCCGAUCUGGGAUCGACCCCCGUCUUCAACCCCUUCGCGGUGGUCUCGCAGGUGCAGAUGGUGGCUGGCAGCUCCUACUCUAGUGAGCACAACUACAUGUCCGCCGCUCGCACCACCGUGACGCUGGUGCGCGAGCAAGGGAUCAGCUGCCUGUUUCGCGGGACGCUGCUGACGUUGGUGGUGGCCCCCCUCACUGGGGCGUGGUGGUUUGUGUACGAGUACUUUAAGCGCCUCGUCUACGGCGCAGCCCCGGCGAUUGGCGCGCGGCUUUCUGCCGUGGUGCCCCAGUCUGUACAGCUCUGUUUGCCGCCCUGCUGCACCUCUGCGACUGACAACGUACUCGUGAACGCUGGAGUUGGCGCCGCGGCGAGUAUGGUCAUCGGUCUUAUCAUGAACCCCUUCUACGUGCUGCGGUUGCGCUUGCAGGUGGGUAAGCGCAUCGAAGGGGUGCGCUUCCCGUUGCUGCACAUUGUAAGAGAUGUCCUCAAGAACGAGGGAGUGCGUGCGCUGUGGAAGGGGCUGGGCGGAAAUCUGCUGGUUGGCGUCGUCGGCGGAUGCUCGUUUGGCUUCACCUACGAGGGCGCAAAGCAAUUCUCUGACAUCACCCAGGGAGCCGGCAGUGAGGCCGCCGCUGCUGUCCAGAGGCGAAUCCCGUGAGCUGCAGAUGCACGCCCUCCCACCCACAUAGUGGUAUGCCUGCAGCGGCUGGCGAGCGUCAGCCCCCACGACAGCGGCAGCCCAGCAGGAUACGCGUCGAGUGAUAACGGCAUUGGCGAGAUUCCAGCUCGCGAGAACGCGCUUGACUAUUCGCAGCGGCAGCGCAGGGGUGGAGUUGGUGGCGUAUGUGCAUGUGCGUGGCUCUUGUUCGCUUCGCGGGUAUCCAGCGAACUAAUGAAUGAAUCUCGGCUUCACUGCUGGCGGUGCGAGAAACGCAGGCAUCACACAGACAGACACCCAUGACAAAAAGGUGUGCACAGACGCAGCAGCUCUGCGACGCAGAGGCCAUUCGCUAUUGCGUCGAGGCGAGAGUUAGCGAGAGCGAGCGUGACACACCGACAGACAAACAGAGGGUUGGGGUGUGAGAUGCGCAUGGAUUGCGUGGGUGCCCGCAUGCUCCUGCUUUGUCUGUCACUCGCUCCGCCCUUCUCAUUCUGAGGGAGAAAGAAGAAGACGCCAAACGGCAUAAUGGAAAGAGC
rnacentral:misc_RNA from 1 species